rnacentral:lncRNA from 1 species
UAGUUUGCAACCGAAGAGUAGGAAUAACAAGACUUCAAAAGAAUACUACAAUCCUUAGAGUGUGGCUAAGAAAUUUGGAAUUUGACAGCAUAGUUCCUUUGGUGAUGAAUAUGUGGUCCCAAGCAUCAGCAAAAUCAUCUUAAUGUAGCCGAAGUUAAUAGGUUGAUAGGAUUGGCAUAAAGAAGGUUUAAGCUUUUCGAUAGCUUAUUUUUCUUGUUCAUCAGGAUCCCUUUGUCAAUCCUUUCAACAUGAUUACUCUUCAAGGGUGUAUCAUCGGCCACCAAAAAGGUAUUUUAUCCUUCCUUUCUAAUCUUACUUUCUGGUUUAUCGAUUUUUCCCUUCUCUUACCUUGGUUCAAAUCCUAAUGACGACCAAGGACAAGAUGAGUGUAGUUCAAAUCCAAUGAUGUCCAAGGACACCAAAAGAUCAUCCGAAUAAGCAUUUUGAAGAGCCUGAAGCAUUUUACAUAAAAAAAGUCUUCAAUCCUAGAGAUAGGUUCACUGUUUCAUGGUCCAACACACCACCACCCCUACCACCCCUAUUCAACAAGUACCUCCUCCUCCAAACAUAUCUAAACUAAAGUGGAAUGGUAGAAGCGGUUUUGCAGCAGGACGAAAUGUCUUCGCAAGGGUCCAGGGCUCACAUUUCCCAUUCCCAUUAACAGAUUUACAACAGGAUAUCCCUAUUGCUGAGUGAUAUGUCAAGAGACUAUCUAGGACUCAACGGUCAAUUUGUGCAAGAUUUCUUUGAUUUGCUUUUGUUUUCUGAAAUAUAUGUUUUAUCUCUAAUUUGUAGUAGGUAUAACUUUUAAUCUUGUGUUAAUUAUGAAUAAUUCAUGAAUUAGUAAGAAACGACAAAAUACGAAAUACUUAACUGACUUAAGUAAAUUUUUAGAUUUUGCUUUUGAGGAUGGAAUUAUUGAAGAUACAAUGUCCAUGUCCACAUGCGAAAUAUCAUACACGAGGAAUAGUCAAG